UACGUAGGGGGCAAGCGUUGUCCGGAUUUAUUGGGCGUAAAGAGCGUGUAGGCGGUUUGGUAGGUCCGCUGUGAAAACUCGAGCUCAACCUCGAGACGCCGGUGGAAACCAUCAGACUAGAGUCCGGAAGAGGAGAGUGGAAUUCCUGGUGUAGCGGUGAAAUGCGUAGAGAUCGGAAAGAACACCAACGGCGAAAGCACUCUGCUGGGCCGACACUGACACUGAGAGACGAAAGCUAGGGGAGCGAAUGGG
rnacentral:rRNA from 1 species